GGGUUGUGAGGUUAAGCGACUAAGCGUACACGGUGGAUGCCCUGGCAGUCAGAGGCGAUGAAGGGCGUGCUAAUCUGCGAUAAGCGCCGGUAAGGUGAUAUGAACCGUUAUAACCGGCGAUACCCGAAUGGGGAAACCCAGUGUGACUCGUCACACUAUCAUUAACUGAAUCCAUAGGUUAAUGAGGCGAACCGGGGGAACUGAAACAUCUAAGUACCCCGAGGAAAAGAAAUCAACCGAGAUUCCCCCAGUAGCGGCGAGCGAACGGGGAGGAGCCCAGAGCCUGAAUCAGCAUAUGUGUUAGUGGAAGCGUCUGGAAAGGCGCGCGAUACAGGGUGACAGCCCCGUACACAAAAGCGCAUGUGCUGUGAGCUCGAUGAGUAGGGCGGGACACGUGGUAUCCUGUCUGAAUAUGGGGGGACCAUCCUCCAAGGCUAAAUACUCCUGACUGACCGAUAGUGAACCAGUACCGUGAGGGAAAGGCGAAAAGAACCCCGGCGAGGGGAGUGAAAAAGAACCUGAAACCGUGUACGUACAAGCAGUGGGAGCACCCUUUGGGGUGUGACUGCGUACCUUUUGUAUAAUGGGUCAGCGACUUAUAUUCU
rnacentral:rRNA from 1 species